UACGGGGGGGGGCAAGCGUUGUUCGGAAUUACUGGGCGUAAAGGGCUCGUAGGCGGCCAACUAAGUCAGACGUGAAAUCCCUCGGCUUAACCGGGGAACUGCGUCUGAUACUGGAUGGCUUGAGUUUGGGAGAGGGAUGCGGAAUUCCAGGUGUAGCGGUGAAAUGCGUAGAUAUCUGGAGGAACACCGGUGGCGAAGGCGGCAUCCUGGACCAACACUGACGCUGAGGAGCGAAAGCGUGGGGAGCGAACAGGAUUAGACUACCGUAG
rnacentral:rRNA from 1 species